CGGGGUGAGUAACGCGUAGGAACCUAUCGCACAGUGGGGGAUAACACGGGGAAACCGGUGCUAAUACCGCAUGUGGUCAGCGAUGAAGAAAGCAGCAAUGCGCUGUGUGAGGGGCCUGCGUCCGAUUAGCUGGUUGGUGGGGUAACGGCCUACCAAGGCGACGAUCGGUAGCUGGUCUGAGAGGAUGGUCAGCCACACUGGGACUGAGACACGGCCCAG
rnacentral:rRNA from 1 species